GGACUACUGGGGUAUCUAAUCCUAUUUGUUACACAUUGCCUUCGUCCCUCAACGUCUGUUUUAACAUAAGAGCUCGCCUUCGCCUUGAUCAGUCCUAAAGAUAUCAACAAAUUUUAUCUCUCCAUCUAAAAUUCUGUACUCUUCAUAUAUAAACACUAGCUAAAUUGUACCCUUUCUAAAGGCUGAUUUUGCCGUCUAGGUACCCUUUAAACCUAAUAAAGAUGAAUAACACUAGUCUCCUUUGUAUUACCGCGGCGGCUGGCAC
rnacentral:rRNA from 1 species